rnacentral:rRNA from 1 species
UACGAGGGGGGCAAAUGUUGUUCGGAAUCACUGGGCGUAAAGGGAGCGUAGGCGGGUUUUUAAGUCAGGUGUUUAAUCCCGGGGCCCAACCCCGGACAGGCACUUGAAACUGGGAAUCUUGAAUAGUGGAGAGGUCGGUGGAAUUGGAGGUGUAGCGGUGGAAUGCGUAGAGAUCUCCAAGAACACCCGUUGCGAAGGUGGCCGACUGGACACAUAUUGACGCUGAGGCUCGAAAGCAUGGGGAGCAAACAGG